UACGUAGGGCGCAAGCGUUGUCCGGAAUUAUUGGGCGUAAAGAGCUCGUAGGCGGUUUGUCGCGUCUGCUGUGAAAACCUGAGGCUCAACCUCGGGCUUGCAGUGGGUACGGGCAGACUAGAGUGCGGUAGGGGUGACUGGAAUUCCUGGUGUAGCGGUGGAAUGCGCAGAUAUCAGGAGGAACACCGAUGGCGAAGGCAGGUC
rnacentral:rRNA from 1 species